UCAAAGGCUGAGGAAUAGGCAGGUUUGGUUUCUGAGGCCUGUCUCCUUGGCUUGCAAAUGUUGCUGUCUCGCUGUGUCCUCAGGUGGUCUUUCCUGUGUGCAUUUGCAGCCCUGGUGUCUGUGUGCAUCUAAAUUUCCUCCUCUUAUAAUUUUUCUCUGCCAGAGAAGUUGCUGGCAUUGGUGUUACUGGGGUCCCAGUCACUUUCUACUACAUAGCUACGAGGGGAGGGAUGAGGAAAACUUGGGGAACUUGCCAUCCAGGACCACAGUCUUGGUAUCUUCUGCAUGCUUCCCUUGGAUAAUU
rnacentral:lncRNA from 1 species